rnacentral:rRNA from 1 species
CCUACGGGUGGCAGCAGUGAGGAAUAUUGGUCAAUGGACGAGAGUCUGAACCAGCCAAGUAGCGUGAAGGAAGACUGCCCUAUGGGUUGUAAACUUCUUUUAUAUGGGAAUAAAACAGGGUAUGCAUACCCUCUUUUAUGUACCAUAUGAAUAAGGAUCGGCUAACUCCGUGCCAGCAGCCGCGGUAAUACGGAGGAUUCGAGCGUUAUCCGGAUUUAUUGGGUUUAAAGGGAGCGUAGGUGGGUUGUUAAGGCCGUUGUGAAAGUUUGCGGCUCAACCGUAAAAUUGCAGUUGAAACUGGCAGUCUUGAGUACGGUAGAGGUAGGCGGAAUUCGUGGUGUAGCGGUGAAAUGCUUAGAUAUCACGAAGAACUCCGAUUGCGAAGGCAGCUCACUGGACUGCAACUGACACUGAUGCUCGAAAGUGUGGGUAUCAAACAGGAUUAGAUACCCUGGUAGUC